GUUUAUGGAGGAGGGGCUUGGUAAAUGAUAAUAAUGAUUGUAACUUGAUUCUAUCAUUGGAUAACACCAGCCUCUGUCAUCAGGGAAGAAUUUUACUUUUGAGACAUUGAGAGAAUGGAGUUUAAAGUCCAUUCUGU